GGUAGUUCUCAGGUGACGCACUCUGGAAUCGGGCUCCCUCCUCUCUGGUUCCGGGUGUGUCACCUGAGAACCGCU
rfam:Myotis lucifugus cont2.40540, whole genome shotgun sequence.